UACGUAGGGUGCAAGCGUUAUCCGGAAUUAUUGGGCGUAAAGAGCUCGUAGGCGGUCUGUCGCGUCUGCUGUGAAAACUGGGGCUCAACCCCAGCCUGCAGUGGGUACGGGCAGACUAGAGUGCGGUAGGGGAGAUUGGAACUCCUGGUGUAGCGGUGGAAUGCGCAGAUAUCAGGAAGAACACCGAUGGCGAAGGCAGAUCUCUGGGCCGUAACUGACGCUGGAGGAGCGAAAGCAUGGGAGCGAACAGG
rnacentral:rRNA from 1 species